GAAACGCAGCUCAUGUCACAUGACAUUAAAACCUCGCAAGGGAGCAAGCAGGCUGCAGGCGCCGAGUCCGGCGGCCUCAGUUGCUUUUCCCCGGCUGCACAAAGACCAAUUGCCUGGACGAGGCAAAACUAUAGAGUUUGAUGUAGAGUUAAUUAAUGUUUCGUAAAGUCCUGCCAGCGUUUGCUCGUCUCUCUCCCUCACCGUACAGCCCUGCCACUCUCUCUGCGUUUGCACGCAGCUGUCUACUCAAACUCUCUAACAACAUGGAGGGAGACACAGUGCUUUUACAACUUAGCCUGCUACUAAAGUGACCAGGAAGAGACCGUAAGAAGCGGGGCACACUGACGUGUUUGCAGCAGAGCUAUCCUGAAAACUCCUCCCCAUCAUUUCCCCAAUUUCCUGUGCCUGCUGUCCAGCCUUUAAAGGCCCUUGUCUAGCUCCACCCACUCGCUCUUUCACACACUGCAGCCAGGAGCAGCAGCAUCUUCAGCAGCAGCCACCGUUGUUCUUUGUCUGUUGAACUUUGUUUGCAAUAAACCUUAUUUUGAUCAUUA